CAGCAGCCGCGGGAAUACGAAGGGUGCAAGCGUUACUCGGAAUUACUGGGCGUAAAGCGUGCGUAGGUGGUGGGUUAAGUCCGUUGUGAAAGCCCUGGGCUCAACCUGGGAAUUGCAGUGGAUACUGGGUCACUAGAGUGUGGUAGAGGAUAGUGGAAUUUCCGGUGUAGCAGUGAAAUGCGUAGAGAUCGGAAGGAACAUCUGUGGCGAAGGCGACUAUCUGGGCCAACGCUGACACUGAGGCACGAAAGCGUGGGGAGCAAACAGGAUUAGAUACCCCCGUAGUCCCUGUCUCUUAUAC
rnacentral:rRNA from 1 species